rnacentral:rRNA from 1 species
UGGGGAAUCUUGCACAAUGGGCGCAACCUGAUGCAGCAACGCCGCGUGCGGGAAGAAGGCCUUAGGGUUGUAAACCGCUUUCAGUAGGGAAGAAAAUGACGGUACCUACAGAAGAAGGUGCGGCCAACUACGCGCCAGCAGCCGCGGUAACACGUAGGCACCAAGCGUUAUCCGGAUUUAUUGGGCGUAAAGAGCUCGUAGGCGGUUCAGUCAGUCGGGUGUGAAAACUUGAGGCUUAACCUCAAGAGGUCACUCGAUACUACUGUGACUAGAGUGCGGUAGGGGAGCGGGGAAUUCCUGGUGUAGCGGUGAAAUGCGCAGAUAUCAGGAGGAACACCAGUGGCGAAGGCGCCGCUCUGGGCCGUAACUGACGCUGAGGAGCGAAAGCAUGGGUAGCAAACAGGAUUAGAUACCCUGGUAGUCCAUGCCGUAAACGUUGGGCACUAGGUGAGGGUCUCAACCAACGAGAUCCGCGCCGUCGCUAACGCAUUAAGUGCCCCGCCUGGGGAGUACGGUCGCAAGACUA